CUCAGAAGGGAGCAGUGAGGAGACAUCCUUGCAUCUCACUGGCCUGUCAUGGGACUGUGGGAAAGUCACUACAGGUCUUUGGACCCCAAUCGCCAACCUGAUAAGUUGAGGAACCAGAUCAGAUGUUGCAAACUUUGUAGGAUGUAAGCUCGACUGGACAGUGACUUCGUUUUGGUUGGCUGCUACUUCGAUGGACCACCUGACACAGACCUGGGCACAGCAGGCUCUCGUUAAAGACUGCUGAAUAAAUGAAGAGCUUGUAGGAGAGUGAUUGCACUUGGGGCCCCAAUUCUCCACCGUUUCCUGCAUCCAGCCCCUGCGCAAUGCACCUUUGCCACCUGCUCAUCAAGAGGCUGUCUCCUUCCUGACCUCCUGAUGUGGACUGGCCGUGCAGCUUGGUUCAGCUGAUAAAACCCGGUGAGAGUGAGUCGUGCUGGGUGCAAUCCUGGCCCCAAGAGGCCAGGCACACCUCUGCUCCCUCUGUCUUGCUCACUCUUGGAACCCCACCACUGCCACGUGAAAAUGCUGACUAGUCUGCUAGAGAAUGGAGACCUUUUUCAGACAAGGUUGAUUCUUGCUGAGUGACAACUCACUACUCCCACCUCUCUCACCUCCUCACACUCUAUGUAUCACUCGUCAGAGCAACGGGAAGCCGUGAAGUCUAUUUUAAGCAGGAGGAAAUGAGAACACAUAUGGCUUGAGCUAGACGGGGCUGAUGAAGACGGGGAAGGCCGUGGGGAUAUAUCCGGGAUAUAUUUUGGAGGUGGAACCAGAAGGCAUUCGGGGGGAUCAGUGAGCGGUCACCCACGAGAGACACACUGAAGAUGGACCAGGACACUCCUGCUGUUCACCUGCUCACACAGCGAGUAAGAAGCGGGGUCAGGUUUGGACCUGAGGCACCUGCGCCAGGCCCCCGAGGAGAUGAAGCAGGAGGAAAACCACGGCUGUUGCCCAAUUUGCAGCUUCUGGCCACCUUCCUGGUCCCACAAGGACCCCUGUGGGCAAUAGUCUCCCUUCUCGCCACUGAAGAAGGAAGCAGGAGAGCCGAGGCCCAGCAUUCAAGGCCGCAAUCCAGGCUCUCUGGUCUGCUGGCCAGUCAAUAAAAAGGACCGUGGACGUGGUGGCCUGUGAGUCACGGGAGGCCCGUCACAGGCUGUCACAGUGGUGAUUGUGGGCACCAUGUUCUGAAGACGAAGUCAUGUCGCUGAGGAUGCCUCCAGCUCAUUGCCUCCAACUCCUGGUAGUAUUCAGUAAAAUCAGAGUUACUGAAUUUUUGAAAACAAUUUUCACACAAAUAGGCAGCAAGCCUGGGCUGAUGUUUCAUUCAGCUCACUGCAGACAGACCAGCAGUAGGUCAGAGCUGGUUCAGAAGAGGACGGGAAGGCCAGGAUGGCAGAGUCAGGGGGAGGGCUUCAGGAGCACGGGGGCUGUGUCAGAACUGCCUCACAUCCUGAGGACGAGCAACCUGGCCGCCUGGGGUCAUCCUGUCUACCAGACAGAGUCACAGUGGCCCCCACACCCAACCAGCUUUGUACAAGUUAGCCUCUAACUUGACAGGACUGGCAAACCAACUCGUCUCCAAACUACCAUUAGUCCAACGCAGUUGCAUGUUCAAGGAGUUAGAGACCCUCAGGCAGAAUAUUUUUUUUAAUGCUCUAGAGUGAUUUUAUAAGGUGCACAUUUUCACCUUAUUUCCACGUGUUGGACAACUUUUACUGAGCGGUGUGGGUGCACCUCCCCUUCCCCACUCUCCCAGGCAUGGACAUUUUUUGCUCCAAUUUCCGAGCGACACUGCGAUGAAAUGCAGUACGCGUAUUUCCGUGGCCACGCGGGCGAGUCCGUCGGGUGCGGGGGCGGUGGGUCCACAGGCAGCGAGAUGUACGCUUGCAUCUUUGGACAGGGCUGCCAAUGGUUGUGUCUGUGCCCCGCCCCCCCUCCCCCCCCAAGCUGGGCACAAAGCUUGUAUCGCCCACGCGGAGGAUCUUUUGUUUUGUUUUAGCCUUCCAGCAGCACCUCCUUCCUGUUUGGGGGAUCCCCGCCCCGGGUCUUGGAGGAAGGCAUGGCCCAUCAUCAGACGUGGAAUCCUUAGACCAACGCUCCCCCUGGCAGGCACAGAGGGCUGGGCGCGUGAGUGCUGGGGGAACUGUCGGGUCUCCGCGUCUUCCUGGUUGACUCCAGGGGUGUUCCUUCCCAGCCCCUCCAUCCCUAACCACAACCAGGCGCAGGCAGGACUCUGCCUCCUGAGCGAGUGCCAUGAAAGCCGAGAGUGGGUGGGACACCUGAGGGACAGUCCACACUGAUGGACACAGUGUGUGUGUGUGUGGGGGGGGGUCUCCCCAGGGGCAAGUGAAGGUCUGGGGGAGCUCAUCAGGAGAGGAGGGAUGGAGUCUCAACAGCCACAGCAGCGGCAGUGCCGGCAGCAGAGGUGAGGAGCCCUGAGUGACGGUGGGAGCUGGAGGAAAUACAGCUAUGUGAUGAGCAGGUGCCAGGGUGCUGGAACCUGAGCACCCGGGUCCAGAUCAGUGACUGCGGCCCAGCCACUUACCUUUUGAGUGCCUGAGUUUCCCGGUCUGUGUGACGGGGAUAACAAUAGUGCUGCCUCAGUGGGUCAUGAUGAUUAAAUGAGUUGGCGGAUUUAAUCACUUCAAGGAGGAUCUGGCCCAUGGUACGCGCCAGUUUUUGCUGUUAUUAUCAGAACCCCAUGCUCAGACCCCAGCCUGGCCUCUCCCCCACCCCCGCAUGUUCCUCAUCCCCUCCUGAGGCCUGCAGCAGAUGAGGUGGCUGCUCCAAGCCCGUUUCCUCUGCUAGACAGUGGGCGCAGUACCCUCCAGAGGCAUAGACCUCUGGAAGGAGGACACUGCCACAAAAGAUGCCCGUGGGCGCUCACGCUGGGCCGGGGAGGGCUAGGCACUUUGUGCUCAUUCCCUCACUUCCUUUCCAACAAUGGGCCCUUCGCAGCAGGAAUGCGAUCAGCUGUUUCACCAGGUGGGCACUGAGGCCCAGGGGCCUGUUGGGCACCCCGGCGGUCACUGUCUUGCCCUGAGACUGCCGGGCACCUAAGGCUCCCUCAGCUGUUUGGGUAGUUUCCUGCCUUAUGGGUCUGGGAAGGUGGGGUCAGCCUCUGGUGACAGAUGCUGGACAGUCCAGCUAGCUGCCUUCCCAGAUUUCCUUGCAUCUAAGGCACAGCCUGUGGCCUGGGUUUUAUUGGUCAGACACACCAGUAUCGCCCUGGAAAGAAAGAACCAGGGCCUGGACCCCAGGACAUUGUGCUGAACUGAGAACAAGGGGCGAGAGGCACCUUGGAAAGGGGGCUGGCCAAGGUCUGCACUCAGCAGUGAGCCACCCAGUGCCCCACACUUGAGCAGUCCCAGACUCAUGGCCGCCAGACUCGAACCCCACCCCCAGGAGGAGACUGGAUUCCUCUUGGCUAAAUGGGCCACCCAAGAGACCUGCUGAUAUGGACAUCUAGGGGUCCCCCAUGAAAUGGGGUGACCUACCCCAAGUAAUACUCUUAGCAAGGGAGAUGGGCAUCAUCGUUCUUUACAGAUGUGGAAACUGAGGCUCAGAGAGGGGUGUGACCUAAGACUACGUAGCCAGUUUGGCGCUGGGCUGGGUCCCUCCUCCUAUCUCUGUAAGAUGCAAGUGGGGAGACUUGCUCCUGGGGCCACGAGGUGGGGCCACGAGGUGACGUGCGUGAGCACUUGCUGUGCUGUGCAGACGUGGGUGAAAACUCACGUCCUGUCGCCUAACGGGACUCCUCAUCUCUAGGCUCAGCAGGGGACCGUGCCCCAGGGCUGAGCCCAUUCUCUCA